rnacentral:rRNA from 1 species
GACUACGGCCAUACCACCCUGAACACGCCCGAUCUUGUCUGAUCUUGGAAGCUAAGCAGGGUUGGGCCUGGUUAGUAGUUG